GCAGAACUACAGAUUCAAGAGAAAAUUCAUCGAGGGGCAAAAACAUGCGAAUAUAAAGAAUGUGUGGAAACAUUUUAUCCGAAUGCACAGCACACCAGGAAUCAGACAUCGCAGUCAUAUGAGAACGCCUAUGGAUGGGAGGAAUGUAAAAAAACUUUCUAUUAUCAAUCAACCCUCACUCAACAUCAACGAUUUCAUAUAGGUGAGAAACUCUAUGACUCUCCACAAUGCUGGGAAAUUUUCCCCUGGAAGUCCCAACUCAGUGUACAUGAGACAUUUCACGCAGGUGAGAGACGCUAUGAGUGUGAAGAAUGUAGGAAGUCUUUCCAUCGGAAGGCAAACCUUAUUCGACAUCAGAGAAGAACACAUAGCAGAGAGAAGCCGUAUGAAUGUAUAGAAUGUGGGAAAACUUUCUACUGUAAGUCAGAUGUCACUCGACAUCAGAGAAGAACUCACAGUAGAGAAAAACCCUACGAAUGUGUAGAAUGCAGUAAGACUUUCUACUGUAAGUCAUACCUCAUUCGACACCAGAGUAGAACUCAUAGUAGAGAGAAGCCCUAUGAAUGUACAGAAUGUACUAAAACCUUUUACUGUAAGUCAGAUCUUACUCGACAUCAAACAACGCACAGUGGGGAAAAGCCUUUUGAAUGUAACGAAUGCUCGAAAACAUUCUACUAUAAAUCAGACCUCGCCAAUCAUCAGAAAACGCAUACAGAUGAUAAUCCUUAUGAAUGUAAAGAAUGUAGGAAAACCUUCUGUUCCAAGUCAAGCCUCAAUCAGCAUC
rnacentral:lncRNA from 1 species